GAUCCUGGCUCAGUAUGAACGCUGGCGGCGUGCUUAACACAUGCAAGUCGAACGGGAAACAUUUUAUUGAAGCUUCGGCAGAUUUAGCUUGUUUCUAGUGGCGGACGGGUGAGUAACGCGUGGGUAACCUGCCUUAUACUGGGGGAUAACAGCCAGAAAUGACUGCUAAUACCGCAUAAGCGCACAGAACCGCAUGGUUCAGUGUGAAAAACUCCGGUGGUAUAAGAUGGACCCGCGUUGGAUUAG
rnacentral:rRNA from 1 species